rnacentral:sRNA from 1 species
UAUUGAAUGAGGCUUGCCACAAUAAUA